rnacentral:rRNA from 1 species
UGGGGAAUAUUGGACAAUGGACCAAAAGUCUGAUCCAGCAAUUCUGUGUGCACGAUGACGUUUUUCGGAAUGUAAAGUGCUUUCAGUUGGGAAGAAAAAAAUGACGGUACCAACAGAAGAAGUGACGGCUAAAUACGUGCCAGCAGCCGCGGUAAUACGUAUGUCACAAGCGUUAUCCGGAUUUAUUGGGCGUAAAGCGCGUCUAGGUGGUUAUGUAAGUCUGAUGUGAAAAUGCAGGGCUCAACUCUGUAUUGCGUUGGAAACUGCAUGACUAGAGUACUGGAGAGGUAAGCGGAACUACAAGUGUAGAGGUGAAAUUCGUAGAUAUUUGUAGGAAUGCCGAUGGGGAAGCCAGCUUACUGGACAGAUACUGACGCUAAAGCGCGAAAGCGUGGGUAGCAAACAGGAUUAGAUACCCUGGUAGUCCACGCCGUAAACGANGAUUACUAGGUGUUGGGGGUCGAACCUCAGCGCCCAAGCUAACGCGAUAAGUAAUCCGCCUGGGGAGUACGUACGCAAGUAUG